rnacentral:rRNA from 2 species
ACGGCGAGUGAACCGGGAAGAGCUCAAAUUUGUAAGCUGGCAGUCUUCGAUUGUCCGCAUUGUAAUCUAUAGACGUGUUUUCCGUGCUGGACCGUAUCUAAGUCCCUUGGAACAGGGUAUCAAAGAGGGUGACAAUCCCGUACUUGAUACGACCACCAGUGCUCUGUGAUACACGUUCUACGAGUCGAGUUGUUUGGGAAUGCAGCUCAAAAUGGGUGGUAAAUUCCAUCUAAAGCUAAAUAUUGGCGAGAGACCGAUAGCGAACAAGUACCGUGAGGGAAAGAUGAAAAGCACUUUGGAAAGAGAGUUAAACAGUACGUGAAAAUUGUUGUUAGAAAGGGAAACGAUUGAAGUCAGUCGUGUUCAUUGGAUUCAGCUAGCUCUGCUAGUCUACUUCCUUUGAACGGGUCAACAUCAGUUUUGUCCGGUGGAUAAAGAUGGCAGGAAUGUGACUUCCUCCGGGAAGUGUUAUAGCCUGCUAUUGCAUACACUGGGUGAGACUGAGGAUCUGCAGCUCGCCUUUUGGCCGGUCUUC